AGCCAUCUUUCAUUAUUCCAAGAG
rnacentral:siRNA from 1 species